GUUUUCAUAUCAGCCACCCCUUUGUGACGCCCGUCUCGGUUGAGCAAUUUCGCUUGAGUUUAAAACUUUCUGUAUUUGCCUCACUGACAGUAUCUACAACCAUGAUGACACCACUGGUCCUGUUGUGUUCCCUUAUAUUCUUCACUAAAGACUCAAAUUGUCAGAUCUCUGUGAAUCAACCAUCAGCACCGAAAACAGUUUCUCCUGGGGGAAGUGUCACCUUCAGCUGUACCACUGGGAGUAAUGUGGGUAGCUACAUAAACUGGUAUCAGCAGAGACCUGGAGAAAAACCUAAACUCCUGAUUUACUAUGCAAGUAAUCGCUACGGAGAUACCCCAAGUCGCUUCACUGGCAGCGGGUCAGGAACUUCAUUCAGUUUGACUAUCAGUGGAGUGCAGCCUGAAGACGCCGGUCACUACUACUGUAUGCAGCAGGGCUACAGCUACCCUUUCGCACAGCGAUUGAGACUCGUACAAAAACCUCACUGA